ensembl:lncRNA
UCGCGCUCUCUCUCGCGCUCGCUCGCUCGCUCCAGUAUGUAAAUGUGUAAUAGAAGCCAAAUAUGGAGCAGUUGGCUGCCGCCGCCGCAGCUCAAGGAUCCGACUUCAUGGGGGGGGGGGGGGGGAGGCACCCUCUGGCAGGCGGCCCGGCGAGCCGCACAGAGCACGGCGAGCGCACGGCGCGGCUGCCGGCCCGCGCCCUUAACCCUUCUAUGCACCCGGGCUGGGGCAGCGCUCGCUCCAGGGGAGGCCGGGUGUCUCUCCGCAACUGCGACUCCAGAUCCCGGACACCGACCGGAGGGAACUGUGCCUUCCAGCUAACUGUGGACCAUUCAUCUCAUCUCAAGUGAGGUAACCCGUGCACUGAGCAGUGGAUGGUGGUUCUCGGGAAUCCAAGGCGAAAGAACUUCCCACCUUGGCCCGGUGGCUAAACGCAGACGCGGAGUCCCCACCCGCCCCCUCCGGCUACACCUCAGCCGGGUGUGAGCUCCGUGGGAAGGAAUCUUCUCCGGAGGAGUGCACCUUGCCAACAGGUGUGGCAUCCGAAGGAAGAGCCCGCACCUCCCCAGGAGGGUCGCUCGGUGUGGCGAUCUCUUUGCUGCAGAUAAUUCUUGAAGACCAGUAGGUGUCAGGCCAGCAUCUGACCUCUUUCAGGUGCUUAAAACUAAGAGUCUGGAAACUUGAUCCCUUGGUCUCGCUGGAAGCCACUACUAUUGACUGUAGCUGGAUUUGAGAGACCUUUUGGCUCAGUUUACGUAUGACCUAACAGUUAGUCACUAUCUGAAGCAGCGUACAGAGUCACCGAGAGAAACGUGGUUUGGUCCAGAUGCUCAUGGCUGGCCCACCAGUACCUCUCAGAAACGCACCCUGAAAUGCCAUGACACUGAGAGCCACAGACUACACUGGUUGCGAUGGCUGAGAGGUAAGAGGGCAGUUGUAUAACUCUUGAGCAAGGUUAGUCUUGCAAGCUUCUGUUAGCCUUUCACCUUUGUAAACCAGACCAGAUCUGAAGACAAAAUAUGCCUCAGCUCAGUGCCCCGCCUACCAAAGACCAUCAAAGUUGGAGUGGUAAACAUUUAUUUAUUUUGGUCUCUUUAGAAUUGUUAAAAAGUCUUGCCUCCCACGGUAGGGAAGUGCGUGCCAAGUUUCUGCUUGGAACAAUUUGUUAUGGCUAUGCGAUAAUCCUGGAAAGUUUGAAUUUUUAAUGGAAAUCCUGACGCCAGACCGUGAACCAUGCGCUCCUACAGAAAGGGUGUUAUCCUAUAUGUCCUUUUAAAAGCUGAGCAAGCUGGGGUGGUUACGGAACAAAUACACUUGGCCAAGAUUGGGCUUCUCAAUAAGCCUGGGGAGAAAUGAACCAGAAUGAUAAAGCAACGUAGAAACAAAAGUGAAAGCCGUCCACACAAUAGACUCUGGGGUCAGUGGGCCACACCCUAGCUGAAGUCCCGAGGCUCUGUGUACAGCAUACAGACACAGACCUGCUUCAGGACCACGGGCUCGGUCUACCCAACUGCAGCAGCACAGGCUUCCUGGUGGUGAAACGACAUCACCAAUGCUCAAGAAUGGAGUGACACAGAGUUGAA